rnacentral:lncRNA from 1 species
GUUGCCCCAGUCGAUGGUGGUUGGAUUGAUCCAUUCGCUUGGGUUUCCACUGCUUGGUAGGACAUAUUUAGAGACCCUGAAUAGUAGACGGUCUUUGCUUGUCAGUCCCUAACUUUUGCUUAGACCGCACUUUCGGGUUUUCGAUCUAGCGGCACACCCUUUUUGCCUAAGUUGCCCUUUUGAGGGGAAUCAACUUAAAGGGUUUUCAAUUCUUUUGUUUUAUAUCCC